CGUCGCCACCUGCUCCUCGUCGCCAUCGUCCUCGCCGGUUUUACUCGGCGUGUCGUCGUCGCUCAGCUGCAUGUAGAUGAAGUUCCCGGGUCCUCCUGCAGGGGGCGGCAGAGGACAAGAAAACAUCCAUCACGGGAGGUUUGAAUGGAGGAGAAGGCCAGAGAGCAACGGCGCACUGAUAAAUCUGAGAGCUAGACGCUUUUUAAGAAGUUUUUCCAAGGCCGUCCAGUCAUUUUUUUUCAAAAGGAGGCUUGAAGCGUCUUGCAGCUGAUGUUUCCUUAAAUCCUCUGAGAUCGCCUACGGGCCGGUUCUGUUUCGCAACCUUCCUGAUUGUGUCCCUGCAGGAAGCAACAACGUGACCAAAUACGAGGCGAGCAGACUGGAUAUAUUCCAGUCUGAGAGACACAGAUCAGAUUUAUUGGGCGCUGACAUUUACCUGUUUGAACUGGAUUAUCAAAGGUUUACAGCACACCUCCUGUCAGGCUGGAUCAGAUCAGUCUCAGAUUAGGGAGGGAUGUUUUUAUCCUAACUGUACUAUUAUUCUGAUUAUUAUGGCGUUUUUGCACAACGUUAGACACAAAUACAGAUAAAGAUGAAGCCUUGUGUCCUUAUUUUUGCAUGUUUUCUGAAAGCUUAUCCAUACAGAGUAGUUGCAGGAGGCAGAUUAGCAGUGUGGCCAAUAAUUCAAACGAUGAUAAGAGGAAGAAGUUAUAAAAAUGGCGGAGCAGUUAUGAGGAGAGUUUAUGUGAGUUGGUCAGAAGUUUUAAACAUCUGUAUGAUGUUACUUCGCCCGGGCUCAGAGACAAUCAGCCAGUAAAGACCAGCUGGGAGGAGAUUGGAUGGGAUUAAAUAUGAGUUGGACGGCCACAAAAGGAAAACUGCAGGUCUGUGUGAGAUCGAUUUAUCUCUGAGCGGCGCCAUCUAGUGGCCGUACUGCUCAACAUCCACGUCAACGUGAAGGACACAUGGAAGUAUGAGGGCAGUGAUGCUUCUAUCUUUUGAAUCAGGUUUGACAACGAUUAAUCCAGAACUCUGAUUUCAAAGUUCAGGCAAACUUCCUGUGAAAACACAAUUAUUUUGAAGGAUGUUUAAUUAUUAUCGCAGGAUGUCCUUGAUUUUAAUCUCGCCUCAGUUUUUCCUGCAAAACGCCGUCAUGUCAAGACAAAUCUGGCUUUAUUUAGCUUAAUUCAAACUCUAUCCCCGUCAGAAUGAAUGUUACUUGCCU